rnacentral:lncRNA from 10 species
AGAGACUCAUAUAAUGCCAUGGAUGAUGCCUCUCUCCAUUGCUUGGUUCUUCCUUCCUCGAUAUACUGGAUGAGGUGGCACCAUCUCAUAGGUCCUCUACACAGGAGUCCAGAGAAAGGGGAAAACACUUUCCCACAGCCCAUAUGCUGAGGCUUCAGGACAAUUCUCAUUGGCACAAAUUGAGUCAUAAGCCCAUCUCUGAACUUAUCAUGCAUUCAAAAAAUAAAAGGAGAACAUGACUAGUGUGGGUUGUGAGCCAGUGCAAUGGGUCAAACUGGGGAAAGGAAGCCACAGAGCACAGAGAUAAACAAUCUUACCAACCUCUGAUGAAGGGAAAAGUAGUUGCUCCCCAAAAGAAUAAGUAGGGUACUUUAUCAGACAGUGGGGAUGGCUGCUAGAUGAUGAGUAACGUUAGUUAUUGUAACAAGCAAAUCCCAACAUUUCUAUGUCUGAACACAUUAAAAUGCUAUUUCCUGCUCACAUAAUUUUUCUUUUUUGAGACAGGGUCUUGCUGUGUCACCCAGGCUGGAGGGCAGUGACAUGAUCUCAACUCACUGCAGCUUGGCUCUUCCUGGCUCAAGCCACACUCCCACCUCAGCCUCCUGAGUAGUCGGGACCACAGGCAUGAGCCACCAUGCCCAACCACUCACGUAAUCUGCGUGUUCUUGAUCGGGAAGCUUUCUUUGAAGCAGUGAUUUGAGGAAACGGGUUUCUUCUCUUCUGUAUCUGUGCCAGCUUCAACAAGUGGCUUCUAAAUUUCUAACAAUAAGCCAGGCAUGGUGGCUUAUGCCUGUAAUACCAGCACUUUGGGAGGCUAAGGCGGGCAGAUUGCUUGAGCUGGGGAGUUCGAGACCAGCCUGGGAAACUUGGCAAAACCCCAUCUGUAUGUAAAAAAUAAGACAAAAAUAAAAUAAAAAGUUAAAAACAAACAAAAAAAUAAAAUAGUAGCACUCACUCCUCUCAAGCCAGCAGAAAGGGGUGAAGAAGAUUAAGAAGACACACCCAUUUCUUCACCUCUGGUCACAUACAGAACUAGCCAUGCGGCCCCACUAUGUGAAAGGAAGUCUUGCAAAAGUCAUACCUGGCUGGGCAACAGCUCCCAGCAGCCACUCUGCACAAUGGGAGGGAAACCUAAGCCUUUGGUGGACAGCAGCCAUGUCUCCCACAGGUGCUGAGCAGACAAGGAGCAGAUGUCCAUCUCUAGCAUCCAUCCAGCAGUCCUGCACAGGACGCAGAGUGAUCAGCCUGGGCUUACUCCGUGCUUUUCUGGGCUGGUCUCUCUCACAGUGAAGCUCCAUGUUUAUGAUUCUUGGCCCUAGAUGUGUAUUAGAAUCACUUGUUGCCGGGCGUAGUGGCUCAUGCCUGUAAUCCCAACACUUGGGAGGCUGAGAUGGGAGGAUCACUUGAGCUGAGUUCAAGACCAGCCUGGGCAACACAGAUAAACCUCAUCUCUACUAACAUUAAAAAAAAAAAAAAAAUCAGCUGGGUUUGGUAGCACAUCCCUGUAGUCCCACCUACUUGGGAGGGGUGGGCUGAGAUGGGAGGAUAACUUGAGCCCAAGAGGUUAAGGCUGCAGUGAGCCCUGAUUGUGCCACUGCACUCCAGCGUGGGUGACAGAGCAAGGCCCAUAUCCAUGUUCAGACUGAUUGAAUCAGUCUUUCAUGGGUAGAGCCUGGCAUCAUUAUUUGGGUAAAACUCCUUUGAAGUGGCUCUAAUGUGUACCCAGGAAUGAGAACCAUUUGGCUUAAAUAAAAGAAAGACAUUUGGCUGGGCACGGUGGCUCA